rnacentral:rRNA from 1 species
GAUGAACGCUGGCGGCGUGCCUAAUACAUGCAAGUCGAGCGAACGGACGAGAAGCUUGCCUCUCUGAUGUUAGCGGCGGACGGGUGAGUAACACGUGGAUAACCUACCUAUAAGACUGGGAUAACUUCGGGAAACCGGAGCUAAUACCGGAUAAUAUUUUGAACCGCAUGGUUCAAAAGUGAAAGACGGUCUUGCUGUCACUUAUAGAUGGAUCCGCGCUGCAUUAGCUAGUUGGUAAGGUAACGGCUCACCAAGGCAACGAUGCAUAGCCGACCUGAGAGGGUGAUCGGCCACACUGGAACUGAGACACGGUCCAGACUCCUACGGGAGGCAGCAGUAGGGAAUCUUCCGCAAUGGGCGAAAGCCUGACGGAGCAACGCCGCGUGAGUGAUGAAGGUCUUCGGAUCGUAAAACUCUGUUAUUAGGGAAGAACAUAUGUGUAAGUAACUGUGCACAUCUUGACGGUACCUAAUCAGAAAGCCACGGCUAACUACGUG